ensembl:ncRNA F55G7.6 ncRNA
CAAAAAAGAAAUGCCCCCAGGCGGGAUUGAACCGCCGACCUUCUGUUUACGAGACAGACGCUCUGCCACUGAGCUAUACGGGCUACG